AUUGAACGCUGGCGGCAGGCUUAACACAUGCAAGUCGAACGAGUGGCGGACGGGUGAGUAAUGUCUGGGAAACUGCCUGAUGGAGGGGGAUAACUACUGGAAACGGUCGCUAAUACCGCAUACCAUCAGAUGUGCCCCGGUGGGAUUAGCUAGUUGGUGGGGUAAUGGCUCACCAAGGCGACGAUCCCUAGCUGGUCUGAGAGGAUGACCAGCCACACUGGAACGGAGACACGGUCCAGACUCCUACGGGAGGCAGCAGUGGGGAAUAUUGCACAAUGGGCGAAAGCCUGAUGCAGCCAUGCCGCGUGUGUGAAGAAGGCCUUCGGGUUGUAAAGCACUUUAAGCGAGGAGGCGUUACUCGCAGAAGAAGCACCGGCUAACUCCGUGCCAGCAGCCGCGGUAAUAC
rnacentral:rRNA from 1 species